UCUUAUUUGAUGCAUGAAAACGUUUGAAUAGAUUGUUUUAUAAAGGAUGUGAAAUGAAUUGGUAUGACCCAGAAGAGAUUGAUACAAGAAGACGAUGGUCUUUUAAUAAUCUAGCUACUCUCACUCAUCACUUACUCUCAUUCAUCACUUUCUUAUUGAACUACAUACUGUUAGAGUAUGAAUUGAUGUAUCGAGAAAAUCCAAUGCCUAUUUGUGAACAAUAACUACCUACAUCGAAAAUGACACGUAU